CCUACGGGUGGCAGCAGUGAGGAAUAUUGGUCAAUGGGCGAGAUCCUGAACCAGCCAAGCCGCGUGAGGGAAGACGGCCCUAUGGGUUGUAAACCUCUUUUAUCCGAGAACAAAACCCUGGACGUGUCCCUGACUGCAUGUAUCCCAUGAAAAAGCAUCGGCUAACUCCGUGCCAGCAGCCGCGGUAAUACGGAGGGUUCGAGCGUUAUCCGGAUUUAUUGGGUUUACAGGGUGCGUAGGCGGUCCGUUAAGCUAGCGGUAAAAUUUCGGGGCUCAACCCCGGCGAGCCGUGGAAACUGGCAAACUUGAGUUGGCGAGAGGUACGCGGAAGUCGCGGUGUAGCGGUGAAAUGCAUAGAUAUCGCGCAGAACUCCGAUUGCGAAGGCAGCGUACCGGCGCCAUACUGACGCUGAGGCACGAAAGCGUGGGGAUCGAACAGGAUUAGAUACCCUAGUAGUC
rnacentral:rRNA from 1 species